UACGGGGGGGGCAAGCGUUGUUCGGAAUUACUGGGCGUAAAGGGCUCGUAGGCGGCCAACUAAGUCAGACGUGAAAUCCCCAGGCUUAACCUGGGAACUGCGUCUGAUACUGGAUGGCUUGAAUUCGGGAGAGGGAUGCAGAAUUCCAGGUGUAGCGGUGAAAUGCGUAGAUAUCAAGCGGAACACCGGUGGCGAAGGCGGCCUUCUGGACAGUGACUGACGCUGAGACGCGAAAGCGUGGGGAGCAAACAGG
rnacentral:rRNA from 1 species